rnacentral:rRNA from 1 species
UGGCUCAGAACGAACGCUGGCGGCGCGUUUAAGCAUGCAAGUCGAGCGGCAAGGGCCUUCGGGCCCCUAGAGCGGCGGACGGGUGAGUAACACGUGGACAAUCUGCCCCCCGGCCCGGGAUAGCCCAGGGAAACCUGGAUUAAUACCGGAUGAGACGGGACCCGCGAUGGCGGGACCCGGGAAAGGCGCUGCGGCGCCGCCGGGGGAUGAGUCUGCGUCCCAUUAGCUAGACGGCGGGGUAACGGCCCACCGUGGCGACGAUGGGUAGCCGGCCUGAGAGGGUGGACGGCCACAUUGGAACUGAGACACGGUCUAGACUCCUACGGGAGGCAGCAGCUAAGAAUCUUCCGCAAUGGGCGAAAGCCUGACGGAAGCGACGCCGCGUGAACGAAGAAGGCCGUGAGGUUGUAAAGUUCUUUUCGGGAGGGGGAACAACCGUGGCAGGGAAUGGCCGCGGGAUGACGUGAAUCCCGGAAUAAGCCCCGGCUAACUACGUGCCAGCCGCGGC